UGCCUUUGUGUUGCCUGUUCAUUCCUGUCCAGAAUGAAUGUGGUGUCAAAAAAGGCAAACAGGAAUUCUUGCUCAAACUGUUUAAGGAGCUGGUUAUUUACCUUUCUCCUCCCUGUUUUCGCAAGGACAAAA
ensembl:snoRNA small nucleolar RNA SNORA13